rnacentral:rRNA from 1 species
AUACGAAAGGUGCAAGCGUUGUUCGGAUUUACUGGGCGUAAAGAGAGUGUAGGUUGUUUAUUAAGUCGGAUGUGAAAUCCCGGGGCUCAACCUCGGAACUGCAUUCGAUACUGGUAGACUAGAGUUCGGGAGGGGUAAGCGGAAUUCCGUGUGUAGCAGUGAAAUGCGUAGAUAUACGGAGGAACACCUGAGGCGAAGGCGGCUUACUGGACCGAUACUGACACUGAGACUCGAAAGCGUGGGUAGCAAACAGGAUUAGAUACCCCGGUAGUCC